UGUGUGUGUGUGUGUGUGUGAGACAGUGAGACUGGUGAGGCAACCCUGAGGAUAGUAGGCGUGUCUUCGGAGGACGACGGUGUUUACACCUGCGUUGCCGCUAACGACCUUGGCUCUGUGACAUCAUCAGCCAGCCUCAGAGUGCUAGUUGUGUCCAGUGAUGGGGUCAGGGUGAGCUGGAAGGACAACUUUGAGUCCCACUACACUGAGGUGGCAGAGCUGGGCAGAGGCCGGUUCUCUGUGGUCAAGCGUUGCGAACACAAGUCGACCGAACGCA